rnacentral:lncRNA from 1 species
CAGGAGCUGGUAACUGGAGAGCAGAGCGAGCGUGAGCUGCGAAUAGCCAAGCGGCGAGAACGGGGCAGCAGCGGCUCCGGUCGAGGUUUCUCCCGCAUGCUUCGUUGACUCCGCCGAAGAGCUCGUCGGAGAGGUCAAGACGGCAGGUUUGAGCUUGGGUUUCGACCGGGAAGGCAGGUACGGGGUUGGGUAAGGUUUGAGCUUGGGUUUCGACCGGGAAGGCAGGUACGGUGUUGGGUGUGACCGGUUCGAGGAGUAGAUUGGCUGAGACGGUGUGAGAGAGGAGAGAACAGAGGAUGAUGAGGAGUGAAGUGAAGCUUUUCUUCAUUGUUAGAGGCUACAGAGAGAGAGGAAGAGAUAGAGAAAUGGAUUUAUAAAAUUAUGACGCUCUCAAAUCUCUCUGUGACUGUCUUUUAGAUUCACGAAGAAAAUCAGCCUUCCAUUAUUCACUAUCUUCUCUCUCUUUUGUUCUUUCUAUAGGAUUAUUGUGGAGAGAGAAAGAUGUGAUUGAAAAAAAACAAGAGAUUCCUGACUUUGGCAGUUUCUGGUUUGUUUUUAGAGUCU